rnacentral:rRNA from 1 species
GAUGAACGCUAGCUACAGGCUUAACACAUGCAAGUCGUGGGGCAGCGGAUACUUAGCUUGCUAAGUAUGCCGGCGACCGGCGCACGGGUGAGUAACGCGUACCGAACCUGCCCAUCACACAGGGAUAGGCUUGCGAAAGCAAGAUUAAUAUCUGAUGGUCUCAAUUUUAUGCAUGUAUGAUUGAGUAAAGCCUUCGGGCGGUGAUGGAUGGCGGUGCGUCCCAUUAGGAAGUUGGCGGGGUAACGGCCCACCAAUCCUUCGAUGGGUAGGGGUUCUGAGAGGAAGGUCCCCCACAGUGGAACUGAGAUACGGGCCAAACUCCUACGGGAGGCAGCAGUGAGGAAUAUUGGUCAAUGGGCGAGAGCCUGAACCAGCCAAGUAGCGUGCGGGAUGAAGGCCCUUGUGGUCGUAAACCGCUUUUAUCAGUGAAUAAAGUGCACCACGUGUGGUGUCAUUGCAGGUAGCUGAAGAAAAAGGACCGGCUAAUUCCGUG